UGAGGUCAAAGGUUGUCGCUGCAUAUGACGGUGAUGAUCUAAGCUGUUACUGAUGCCUGUAUAUAACUACUUUGUGUAGUGAUCUAAUUCAUUAGUAGUUUCUAAAGCUAUAUUGACUCACUUAUUCCAAAACCGGCCCUUUCUGAAGAGACGUAUUCUAAACGUGAUGAAACUGCUGUUGCUGUUGCUGCUUGUCCUCGUGUGUUUAGAAAUGCAACAGACUGACGGCCUUAGGCCUAAGGGACGUUGGUUGUUUCGGUCUAAGAGAUGGAGGAGGAACGCGAGAUGGUUAACCAGUACAACAAAGUUACACGGAAGAGAUCUUGAGGGCGAAGACAUUUACAAGGAACGGAAUACUGACCAAUCACAGGACGAGGUGUCAUUCAAUGCGAGAGAUGCACAAAUGUUGAUGACAUAAGCUGAUGCCGGUACUGCGGUGAACGCGUGAGAACUACGACUAAUCUGUGUACAGAUCAGAUCAUGACAUCAUAAAAUGUCUUCAUCGUU